CGGCGGACGGGUGAGUAAUGCCUAGGAAUCUGCCUGGUAGUGGGGGAUAACGUCCGGAAACGGGCGCUAAUACCGCAUACGUCCUGAGGGAGAAAUGGGGGGAUCUUCGGACCUCACGCUAUCAGAUGAGCCUAGGUCGGAUUAGCUAGUUGGUGGGGUAAAGGCCUACCAAGGCGACGAUCCGUAACUGGUCUGAGAGGAUGAUCAGUCACACUGGAACUGAGACACGGUCCAG
rnacentral:rRNA from 1 species